GCUCCUUUAGUGUAGUCCGGUCUAUCACUUUGCCCUCUCACGGCAAGAACUCGGGUUCAAAUCCCGGAGGGAGCG
rnacentral:tRNA from 1 species